UACGAAGGGGGCUAGCGUUGCUCGGAAUGACUGGGCGUAAAGGGCGCGUAGGCGGAUUGCUUUGUCGGGCGUGAAAUUCCAGGGCUUAACCUUGGGGCUGCGUUCGAGACGGGUGAUCUUGAGUGGGGAAGAGGGUCGUGGAAUUCCCAGUGUAGAGGUGAAAUUCGUAGAUAUUGGGGAAGAACACCGGUGGCGAGGGCGGCGACCUGGUCCUUUACUGACGCUGAGGCGCGAAAGCGUGGGGAGCAAACAGG
rnacentral:rRNA from 1 species